GGAUUAUCUGUCCCCCUCUCUCUCUGCCCCUCCCCGGCUCGUGUUCUCUCUCAACAAUAAAUUAAAAAAAAAACAUUAAAAAAUAAAAGUCGUCAUGGCAUGUUUUUGCCUAUCUGGGUACAUACACCAUAAUGGUACAUCUUAUCAUUGAUGGCGUUUUAUUUUAGUUUUUAUUUAUAUAUAUAUAUAUAUUUUAACAAUUGUAAAGAUUUAUGCACCCAACAUGGGAAGACCCAAACAUAAAGCAACUAUUAACAUAGAAGAAGAAAUUGAUGACAAUAUUGGUAGGGGACUUAAACACCCUACUUACAACAAUGGACGGAUCAUCCAAACAGAAGUUGAUGGCGUUUUAGAUUUGAUGAAGUAUCCUUAGCAUGUGCCAGAUGCUUCCAUAUACAUUAUUACAUGUAGUAGUCACAUAUUUUUACAGAGGAAGACACUGAGGCUCAGAGAGACCGUGCCAGUAAGAGGACAACUGACAUGUGGAGUCUAGGCCCCCUGACCCCGGAUCCAGGACUCUUUCCCUUCAUCUGCAGCUCCCGAUCCUGCCUGUGGACUUUGAACACCCAUGAGCCAUGCUAUCACGUGUCUGCAAGAGUUCAGAGAAGGCAAAAAGCGUAUCUGUUGAAAAAUAAACUAUUAGGCUCUGUUAUGAGCUGAAGUGUGUCCUUCCUAAAUUCGUACUUUGAAGCCCUAACCCCCAGGACCUCGGAACAUGACAAUUUGGAGAUAGAGACUUGAAGAGAGGUUCCCCAGAUGCUAAGGCCACAGGGACCAAGCAGAUCCAACCACAGGACAGAGUUGUUUAGACCAUAAGAAGCAAAUGGACAGUUGGG